GGAAAUGAAUUCGAUGCAGGUUGUUGGAGCUGUUGGAUUCCAGGGUAGACACCUUGAUAUUCCACCUACAGUGGAUCCAUUGGUUGCGGGGAUAAUAAGUGACUGUUGGCAUCGGUUAGUUUCUACCUAUCAGUCUCAAAUACUUGACUGUAAAGCAUUGUGUUCCUGUCCGUGCUUGAACUGCAUGUUCUGGUGUGCAGUAUUAUAUUGUUGUGUCUAAUCCACGUAUGGAAGAUAACAGAAAUGUGCUAUUAGUUUCUUUAUGAAAUAUAAUUUGUGAUGUUCCUCUUCAGCAGAAAUCCACAGGCACGCCCUUCGUUUGGUCAGAUUAUCACCCGCCUCAAGUGUUUGCAGUGUCUAAGCAUACAGGAAACAAACUCAUGUAAAUCCCCAGUGAUGAUGUAACAAUAAUUGAGAACUCGUGUAGAUGCAGAGUGAUACGCAAGUUGUUGGAUUGGGAAUUGUUUGUUGAUUUCAAGUUUGGACUUAGCACUGAACAGAGCAAAUAUCCUGUGUGUCGACAGCUCCACAAAGUGUGGUUGGGGACACCAUUGGAGUACUAGCAAAGCUGGUAAUAGUAAUUUGUGCAUGAAGUCCUGAAAUGUAGAGAGAAAAUUAUAAGAAGGCGUUUUCUUGUUAGGUUUAGGAUUGAUAAAAUAUAGUUUGUGCCAUUCAUUUGUAAGAAUGUCUUCUUAAUUUUACAAAAGAAAAGGUGACUUUUGGGGAAUUUGUUGAGAUCGUCCAGGGAGCAAAUGUAAAAAAAUUGGUCUCUACAGGUUGUGCCAAGCUGAGAACUCAUAAAAGUGAGAAAUAUUUGUCAAUUUUUAUCUUCUCUUUUCUUGUUUUACGUUUUCAUGGUUGCCAAAGUUUUUGAGUGGAGACACACUAAGAAGAUCAUAUUUUAUGUCAGCAACUCUGUGGCUCAAGAAUUGUAUUUGUAUUUGAAGAUUGAAAGAUUUAGUGUACGACAAUGAGGCUGGAAAUUUUUCCUUUUAAUUUGUCCUAGAGAAAAUUGAACCAUUAAUCAGGCCUGUUAGAGUUGUAACAACUUGGUCACUAUGCACUAACCUUCUUUUGAAAUCGCAUCAUGAAGCUUGUAUUCUACUAUUCACAAUAACCUUCCUUUUAAAUGGCAUCAUGAAGUUUAUAAUAGAGCUAGCCAUGGUUCAGUUCGGACAUUUAAGUAAGAGAAAUCAUCGGAUUCAAAUUUAAUUAUUGAACUGUUUGGGUUUGGUUCUUGAGUUUUGCAUAAUAAUUAAUUAUUUUUAAUAUUUACAAUGAUGUUACAUUAAUUUAACUAAUGAUAUACUCAAUUUUAACUCUUACAUAAUAACGUAAUUUAAUCUCGAGAUACCUUUUGCACCUCUAUGUUGAGUUAUUCAUAGAUUUAACUAUUACAAUCAAAAGAAGUGGAAGAUAACAAGCUCAAAAUAAUCAGAACUGGCGCAGGCAAGCUUUCAAUUCAAUUUCUCUAGAAUUUGGCAAAAAUGGCACUAAGAUAGAAUAAGUCAUUUGGGUAAAAUUUAUGUUAAUUUGAUUAAGUUGGAUUUGAGCUUGGACAAAAAAUUAGAAAUAAGAAAAUCAUAUUUUGGGUUUAGUAUAAAUUAAUUAGUCAACAAAUUUAUUUAAAAAAAAGUAAAAUGAUUUGACUCAUUUCGUUUCUUAUUUGAUUUUUCGAUUUUUGAUUCAGAUAUCCAUUUGGAUAUUUCACUUAAAAAAAAUGGCUUGAUUCAGGUCAAGUUCGAUUAGUUCAAAAAUUUUGUCCAGCCACUAGUUUAGAAUGUUGUAUUUUCGUUUUGAUGACUUUUAUAAUACUACUGUCCAAAAUAAAAUAAACAGAGAAGGGGGGCGUGGGUGCGAUUAUCUGUGGGCACCUCAAACAUCCCAUAAAAAUUGUGUGGAGAACGGUAACAUGGUGCAAGAAACGCAUCACAACUAUUCUCCAUUAGCCUAAUGCAAUUCAUUCCGUACAUAUAAUCAAGCGUAGAAAACAUGAAAACUUGUAUGAAAACAAUGAUACAUGCACGAAAAUAGCACAAUCGAAUGUAUGUACAAUUGGAAAAAACCGCCAGAUGUAUUCGGAAAAAUUAAUGAGAUCCCAGGAUAGUCUGAAGGAGUGGUUGCCACCAUGUCUAUAUCUCGAAGCAGCCCAACAGGGCAUUAGAGAAGCAUCUGGGUAUGAAUUUAAGGAAUCCCUGAUGCAAUCAUCUCUUCACUCAGAUCCCUAGAUAAUAUCUGGUCCGAGAAAUGAUUUGCAAACUCUCAAUCUUCGAUCUCGGUGUGGAAAACAAAACUGGGGAAAGCAGUAGUGACGUCCCUGAAAGAUAAUAAAAUCAAAGGCAGAGUGAAACAAUGUCAGAGAUUCUAGUGAAAAGAACAUCCUUAUGACAUAAAUCCCUGGAAGAUUAUGAAAUAAUAGGAGCAAAUAUUUUAGAUAAGAAGAACAUGCUUAUAACAUUGUGGUCAUAUUGUUACAUAGAUGUUUUCUUUUGUGAAGAUUAGCAGCUGAAAUACACAGGUGGUCACUAAACUUUUAGCAAAAUUUCAAGUCACUGUACUUCAUUUUGUUUCAAGUUGGUUACUCACCUGUCUCAGAUACUUGACUGUAAAGCAUUGUGUUCCUGUCCGUGCUUGAACUGCAUGUUCUGGUGUGCAGUAUUAUAUCAUUGCGUCUAAUCCAUGUAUGGAAGAUAACAGAAAUGUGCAAUUAGUUUCUUUAUGAAAUAUAAUUUGUGAUGUUCCUCUUCAGCAGAAAUCCACAGGCACGCCCUUCGUUUGGCCAGAUUAUCACCCGCCUCAAGUGUUUGCAAUGUCUAAGCAUACAGGAAACAAACUCAUGUAAAUCCCCAGUGAUGAUGUAACAAUAUUUGAGAACUCGUGUAGAUGCAGAGUGAUACGCAAGUUGUUGGAUUGGGAAUUGUUUGUUGAUUUCAAGUUUGGACUUAGCACUGAACAGAGGAAAUAUCCUGUGUGUCGACAGCUCCACAAAGUGUGGUUGGGGACACCAUUGGAGUACUAGCAAAGCUGGUAAUGGUAAUUUGUGCAUGAAGUCCUGAAAUGUAGAGAAAAAAUUAUAAAAAGGCGUUUUCUGGUUAGGUUUAGGAUUGAUAAAAUAUACUUUGUGCCAUUCAUUUGUAAGAAUGUCUCCUUAAUUUUACAAAAGAAAAUGUGACUUUUGGGGAAUUUGUUGAGAUCGUCAAGGGAGCAAAUGUAAAAAAAAAUUGGUCUCUACAGGUUGUGCCAAGCUGAGAACUCAUAAAAGUGAGAAAUAUUUGUCAAUUUUUAUCCUCUUUUCUUGUUUACGUUUUCAUGGUUGCCAAAGUUUUGAGUGGAGACACACUAAGAAGAUCGUAUUUUAUGUCAGCAACUCUGUGGCUCAAGAAUUGUACUUGUAUUUGAAGAAUGAAAGAUUUAAAGUAUGACAAUGAGGUUGGAAAUUUUUCCUUUUAAUUUGUCCUAGAGAAAAUUGAACCAUUAAUCAGGCCUGUUAGUGUUGUAACAACUUGGUCACUAUUCA
rnacentral:lncRNA from 1 species